UAAAUCACUGUGACUUGAGGUAACUCGAGGUAACUGGAGGUUCGAGGUUCCGAGGUUCGAGGUUCUAUCCCAGUUUUGAGCAAGUUUGUCUCAUUGGCACACAACAACCACGAGUUUGUUAACGCACCACCUUCAGGCUCUGGGCGACGAUUAAAUCCUUGGCCUUGACGCAGACGCUGCUUAUGGAUAGUUUUUACCAAGGAAACAAUUAACAGCAAGAGACGAAAAAAAACAACCACCAGCACCGAUUUACUUAAAACUUUAAAAAGUUUGUAUUUAAUUGACACUGAGUCUCCUGGUGUCGAUGGCAAAGGGUUCUGGGUCAUAACGAAGGCCAUCAACCAAACUUGGAAAUAACGAGGCCGACUUUCU